rnacentral:rRNA from 1 species
AUUGAACGCUGGCGGCAGGCCUAACACAUGCAAGUCGAACGAGUGGCGGACGGGUUAGUAAUGUCUGGGAAACUGCCCGAUGGAGGGGGAUAACUACUGGAAACGGUUGCUCAUACCGCAUACCAUCGGAUGUGCCCAGAUGGGAUUAGCUAGUAGGUUGGGUAACGGCUCACCUAGGCGACGAGCCCUAGCUGGGCUGAGAGGAUGACCAGGCAAACUGGAACGGGGACACGGUACAGCAGCCUACGGGAGGCAGCAGUGGGGAAUAUUGCACAAUGGGCGCAAGGCUGAUGCAGACAUGCCGCGUGUAUGAAGAAGGCCUUCGGGUUGUAAAGUACUUUCAGCGAGGAGGCGUUACUCGCAGAAGAAGCACCGGCUAACUCCGUGCCAGCCGCCGCGGUAAUAC